rnacentral:rRNA from 1 species
UACGAAGGGGCUAGCGUUGUUCGGAAUCACUGGGCGUAAAGCGCACGUAGGCGGAUCUUUAAGUCAGAGGUGAAAUCCCAAGGCUCAACCUUGGAACUGCCUUGAUACUGGGAUCUUGAGUCCGGGAGAGGUGAGUGGAACUGCGAGUGUAGAGGUGAAAUUCGUAGAUAUUCGCAAGAACACCAGUCGGCGAAGGCGGACUCG